rnacentral:rRNA from 1 species
UGCAGUCGAACGAAGUAGCAAUACUUAGUGGCAGACGGGUGAGUAACAUGUAGGUAUCUGCCCUUUGGCCUGGAAUAACACGAGGAAACUUGUGCUAAUACCGGAUAAGUCUUUACGGAGAAAGCUUUAUGCACCAUUGGAUGAGCCUGCAUUUGAUUAGUUUGUUGGUGGGGUAAUGGCCUACCAAGACUUUGAUCAAUAGCUGAUUUGAGAGGAUGAUCAGCCACAUUGGGACUGAGACACGGCCCAAACUCCUACGGGAGGCAGCAGUGGGGAAUCUUGCACAAUGGAGGAAACUCUGAUGCAGCGAUGCCGCGUGAGUGAAGAAGGCCCUUGGGUUGUAAAGCUCUUUCGUCGGGGAAGAAAAUGACUGUACCCGAAUAAGAAGGUCCGGCUAACUUCGUGCCAGCAGCCGCGGUAAUACGAAGGGACCUAGCGUAGUUCGGAAUUACUGGGCUUAAAGAGUUCGUAGGUGGUUGAAAUAGUUGGUGGUGAAAUCCCAGAGCUUAACUCUGGAACUGCCAUCAAAACUUUUCAGCUAGAGUAUGAUAGAGGAAAGCAGAAUUUCUAGUGUAGAGGUGAAAUUCGUAGAUAUUAGAAAGAAUACCAAUUGCGAAGGCAGCUUUCUGGAUCAUUACUGACACUGAGGAACGAAAGCAUGGGUAGCGAAGAGGAUUAGAUACCCUCGUAGUCCAUGCCGUAAACGAUGUGUGUUAGACGUUGGAAAUUUAUUUUCAGUGUCGCAGCGAAAGCGAUAAACACACCGCCUGGGGAGUACGACCGCAAGGUUAAAACUCAAAUGAAUUGACGGGGACCCGCACAAGUAGUGGAGCAUGU